AUUUAGUAUUUAUGAAUUUGUUGUUUGUAUGUAUAUUUAUUUUAAUAAAUAUAAUUUAAUGUUUAUGUGUUUUAGUAUUAAUUUUGAAUUAAUUUGAUUUUAUAUAGUUAUAGUAUUGUGAAGGGGUAAUUUUUAUGUAAUUAAGUAAAUUAAUUUUUUACCUUUUGUAUCAGGGUUUAUUAACUAAUUAAUAUGUAUAUUUAUUAAUCUCGAAUUUAAAAGAGUUAAAUAUAAAUUAUUUUUUAUGUUGAAUAAUAAUUAUAAAUUUAUAUUUAGAAGUGAAAUGUUAUUCGAUUUUAUUGAUAUCUAGUUUUUUCCGAAAUGAAUUUAAUUCAUAUAUUUAGUUAAAUAGUAAUAGUGUUGUUUUAUUUAUGUUGAGUAUAAAAAAUUAAUGGGAUAACCUGUUGAUUUAUGUUUAUUAUUAAAUAGUUUAGAUUAAUAGUUGUGGUUCUAAAAUUUAAUUUCGUUUGAGAUAAUUUAAUAAUUUAUUUUAUUAUUUAAAAAUUUAAUUAUUUUAAUGUAAUUUUUUAGGAUAAAUUAUAUAUUAAUGAUUUUUAUAUAGUUAUAAUGAUAAAAUUAGUAGUUGAUUUUGUGAAUAAUGUUUUUAUAUUUAAUAUAAAUUAAAGGAACUCGGCAAAUUAAAUAUUCACCUGUUUAUCAAAAACAUGUCUUUUUGUUUAUAAUUUAAAGUCUGCUCUGCCCAAUGAAUUAUUUUAAAUGGCUGCAGUAUAUUGACUGUACAAAGGUAGCAUAAUAAUUAGUCUUUUUAUUGAAGGCUUGAAUGAAUGAGUUGAUGAAAUAUUUCCUGUCUCUAGAUUAAACUGUUAAUUUAAAUUUUAAGUAAAAAUGCUUAGAUUUUUUCUAUGGGACGAGAAGACCCUAUAGAAUUUUAUAAUUUAUUUUAGGAAUAAGUUUUAAUAAAAUUAAGUAAUUUAUUGGGAGGAUAUUUAAAAUUAUUUAACUUUAAAAAAUUUAUCCAAGUAUUUUUGUUUCAAAAGAUAGUUUAUUAAAAAAAUUGUUAGAUUUAAUUACCUUGGGGAUAACAGCGUAAUAUCUUUGGAGAGAUCAUAUUUAUGAAGAUGAUUGCGACCUCGAUGUUGAAUUAGGAUAUAAUUUAAAUGCAGCAGUUUAAAUAUUAAGUCUGUUCGACUUUUAAUAUCUUACAUGAUUUCAGUUCAGAUCGACGUGAGCCAGAUCGGUUUCUAUCUAUAUUUAUCUAAUAAAUUUUUGUACGAAAGGACUUAAUUUGUGGAUUAAUUUUUUUUAUUAUAUUAAGAUUUUAAAUGGGAUAA
rnacentral:rRNA from 1 species